CAGAUCCCAAGGUAUAUCAAAGACAAUUUUAAUUAACUAUGAUUUGUGAUUUAGUAGUGAGCACAAAGUAACAUAUAUCAUGUAAUGACGAAGUCUAACCCUCUUCCUAUGCAUCGGCAUGUCAUAAAAGAACAAUUCAUGCACACAUAGUAAAGGCCAAUGCAUAGUAUAAACAUUUUCUUGCAAUGCUAUCAUAUUGGAAACAUAAAGAGGCAGAGAUAUAGUUCCUCUCUCAUAAUAAUUGCAAGUAGGAGCAGCAAGCACAUGCAUAUUACAUUCAUCAAAAUCAUCAUGUGCAAUGGUAAAAGGCAACCCAUCAAUAUAAUCCUUACUAAGCGCAAACUUCUCCGAUAUAGUGUAGUCGGGAGAAUUCAAAAAGAUAAUAGGACUAUCAUGCGUGGGUGCAAUAGCAACAAUUUCAUGUUUAACAUAAGGAACUAUAGCAAGUUCAUCUCCAUAAGCAUAGUUCAUAUUGGCAUCUUGGCCACAAGCAUAGCAAGCAUCAUCAAAAAGGGAUAUUUCAAGAGAAUCAACGGGAUCAUAGCAAUCAUCCUUUGGUAAGCACGAAGGGGAAUUAAACAAUGUAUGAGUUGAAGAGUUACUAUCAUUAGAAGGUGGGCACGGGUGAUCAAUUCGCUCUUCCUCCUUUUGUUCUUCGCUCUCCUCAUCAUCUUUUUCAUCCAAUGAGCUCACAGUUUCAUCAAUUUCUUCUUCCAUAGCUUCCUACAAAAUAUUAUUCUCUUCUUGGACAGCGGAGACUUUAUCAAUAAAUGCAUCAAUAUUGUAAUUGUAUUCAUAAUUCUUAUAACAAUAUCUAAGUAUAGCAAAAUUUUCAGGUUUAUAAACUGAAUCAUAAAAAUCAACAAAAUCAUCAAACUCUUUAAACAUAGAUUCAAUCUCGUAAGCACCCAUAAAAGCAACAAAUUCUUCUAUUUGUUCCACAUCAUAGUAAUCAUAUCUACCAUUAGCAUAAGAAGCUAAGGUUUCAUUAUCAUUGAAUUUGCAUGAAAAGGGAAGGUGUGGAGCCUUCACCCUAGAGCAACAAGUAUAAUCAUGUAUCAAGCAUAGUUGACGAGCAUACCAACGCAACACAGAAAUUUUAUCCCAUAAUAGUUUCCCUUUUUGUGUCAAGCGAUAAUCCCUAAAGUAUUCACGUUGAUCCAAUGUGUCUCCCAGAAUAAAGUUGAAUGGGGUUUUCUCAGGAUUAUCAAAGUAGUACAUAAUUUCUGUCACAUAGCGAGCAUUGAGGGUUUUAGGAGGUUCCCCAUCUCCAUGAGUAGCAAGUACACCUAAUUUUUUUGGUAUUUCAUGUUCCAUAUCCAUAGCUAAAGAUAAAGAACAACUUAGAAUAGCAAAUAAAAAUUACUUAGUGAUAAAGCAAACAAGCACACACGAGAAUAUUCACCCCACGCUAUGACUCCCCGGCAACGGCGCAAGAAAAAGGUUUUGAUAACCCGCAAGUAUACGGGAUCAAUUGUAGCCUCUUUCGAUAAGUAUUCGAACCCAACGAGGAGCUAAAGGUAGAACAAAUAUUCUCUCAAGUCCUACCUGCCACUGAUACGACUCUAUGAAUGCUUAGUGUUCGCUUUACCUAGAACAAGUAUGAAACUAGAAGUACUUUGUACGUGUUGUUGGAUAGGUUUGCAAAAUAAUAAAGAGCGCGUAAAUAUAAACUAGGGGCUGUUUAUAUAAAUAAGCAAUAAAGUAAAUAUAGCGAGUGUGGAAAAGUGGUGGUCGGAGUUGUAAAAUUGUCCCUAAGCAAUUGACUAUGUUACUAGACCGGUAAUCACUUUUGCAAUUCUGUUUGUGGGAGAGGCAUAAGCUAACAUACUUUCUCUUCUUGGAUCAUAUGCACUUAUGAUUGGAACUCUAGCAAGCAUCCGCAACUACUAAAGAUCAUUAAGGUAAAACCCAACCAUAGCAUUAAAGCAUCAAGUCCCCUUUAUCCCAUACGCAAACAACCUACUUACUUGGGUUUGUGCUUCUGUCACUCACGCAACCCACCAUAAGCAAAUCAUGAACAUAUUGCAAACCCUACAGCGGGGAUCCCUCACGCUUGUGCGACACGGAGAGCACCAUAGGAUAGCACCAAUAAUAAAAUAUACAACUCAAACCAAUCAUAGCAAUUCAUCAAUCACCGAUAGGACAACGAAAAUCUACUCAGACAUCAUAGGAUGGCAACACAUCAUUGGAUAAUAAUAUGAAGCAUAAAGCACCAUGUUCAAGUAGAGCGUACAGAGGGUUGCGGGAGAGUGGACCUCUGAAUAUAGAUGGGGGAACGUGAUGGAGAUGUUGGUGAAGAUGAUGGAGGUGUUGGUGAAGAUCGCGGUGAUGAUGAUGGCCCCAGGCGGCGUUCCGGCGCCUCCGGAAGCAAGGGGGAGAGAGCUCCCAUUCUUCUUCUUCUUCCUUGACCUUCUCCCUAGAUGGGAGAAGGGUUUCCCCUCUGGUCCUUGGCUCCCAUGAUGUUGGAGGGGCGAGAGCCCCUCCGAGAUUGUAUCUAUCUCUCUGUCUCUCUCUGUUUCUGCGUUCCCAGAUCCUUCCCCUUCACCGUUUCUUUUAUAUCCGGAGAUCCGUAACUCCAAUUGGGGUGAAUCUUUCACCCAGAUUUUUCUCAUAAAAUUAGCUUUAUUAUGGCAAAAGAAGAGCAUCAACCACCUUACGGGUGGCCCACGAGGGUGCCAGCCACGCCCAGGGGGAGGGCGCGCUCCCCUGUCUCGUGGCCACCUCGGGCCGUUUCGCGUUUAUUCUUCCUCCGGAAAAUCCCAAACAUUCCAAAAUAAUUCUCCGUCCGUUUUAUCCCAUUUGGAUUUCGUUUGAUAUUGGGUUUCUACGAAACAUAAAACAUGCAAGAAACAGGAACUGGCACUCGGCACUGGAUCAAUAUGUUAGUCCCAAAAAAUAGUAUAAAAAGUUGCCAAAAGUAUGUGAAAGUUGAAUAAUAUUGGCAUGGAACAAUCAAAAAUUAUAGAUACGACGGAGACGUAUCAACCCACACCUUUAUAAAGAAGAAGUAGAUGGUGUUAUUAGAUGUUGUGUACCUGAGCAUGAACAGGAAUAGAUCCUACGUAAGUGCCACUCCGAGGCUUACGGAGGACACCAUGCUGGAGAUAGAACUGCACACAUGGUAUUACAAUCUAGUUUUUAUUGGCCUGCUCUCUUCAAGGAUGCUCGUAAGCUUGUAUUGUCUUGUGAUGAAUGCCAGAGAAUUGGCAAUAUUAGUAGACGUCAGGAAAUGCCUAUGAAUGAUUCACUUGCUAUUGAACCAUUUGAUGUUUGGGGCUUUGAUUAUAUGUGACAUUUUCCUUCCUCUAAUGGGUAUACACAUAUUUUAGUUGAUGUUGAUUAUGUUACUAAGUGGGUAGAAGCAAUUCCAACUAGUAGUGUUGAUCAUAACACUUCUAUUAAGAUGCUUAGAGAAGUUAUUUUUUUUUGAGGUUUGGAGUCCCUAGAUAUUUAAUGACUAAUGGUGGUUCACAUUUCAUCCAUGGUGCUUUCCGUAAAUUUCUUGCUAAGUAUGAUGUUAACCAUAUGAUGCGGAGCAUCCUUCAAUCAUCCCCAUGGACACCACUUCGAUUACACAAGCUCCAAGUGGACCCAUGACAAGAGCUCGAGCACGUGCCAUCCAAUCUGAGGUUAACUCUCUCCUUGUUGAACUUCCCUUUGACCCACUUGAGACGUGGAUACUACCUCAAACGGAGAUGCUUUGUGUGCUUAGGUACCAAGGAACCAACCUAGAAGAAGCUACGGUACAAGAUGGACGUCGAGAGCAAGAGGAGAAGCUUCCCAGCAUGGAACGAGCGGUACUACCACCCACGCCAAGCGGUACUGCCGCUGAACCUAGCCAAGCGGCACUAUCGUUCUACAUCCGCCCUCCUUCCGCCGAACCCGACAAACUCAUGUGAUCGAACCGCUCUAGAGUGGCACUACCGCCCCAUCAAAGCGGUACUACCGCUGAAGCUCUGCAAGCGGUACUACCGCCCAAGGGUCCGGUACUACCGCCCUGCCUGUGUGCAGCGUAUCCGGGCCGAGGCCCAUGUACUCGUUCCGCCCCUCUUUUACCCCUUCAAAGGCUUAGACUAUAAAUAGACCUUCCCCUCGUCCUUUCUAGGGUUAGCAUUGUGAUAGCUCGUUUGAGAUAGAGCAUUGCUCAUCCGUACUGGAUCUACUCCACGUGAGGGACCGUGCCUCUUCGGAGAAGAUCCAUCCGGAUUCAAGGCCUCCAUCCGGAGAAGACAAUCAAGACCUCCUCACGGAGAAGAACGGUUACCCUUGUAUCUUCCCUUUGUUGACUUUGGAUCUUGUGUUACCUUAUGCUUUCGGUGAUCUAGCCCUUGUGUGAUCAUUCACUUGUCGGUUGAGUGUUUCUCUUGUUUCUCCUCGUGUUUUCCCUUGUGUUCUUCCGCGCCUUCUUCAUGUUUCCCCGUAGGAUCCACUCCAAACGUGAAAGGUCGGCCCAUAGGGUUCCGCCCUACAUCAUCUUGGUAUCAUGAGCCACGCUGAUCACGUUUUUGGAGCCCCUACCCCGUGUUUUCUAGCUUGAUUUUAUUGUUUUCGUCCUAAAUCCGAAAAUCCCCACCAAAAAUAGCCCCAAUUUUUUUUGUGAUUUGUUGGUUUUGAUGAUGUUUUUUUGAUUUUGAUCAGUGGAUUUGCUUGGUUUCGAGUGGAUCUAGCACCUCCCCCAUUUUCACCUCUUUCCUUCCACGAAAUCCAUCCAAUUUUUGCCCCGAAAUCAUCCUUUUCCGCCCCAAAAUCGCUCUGAUUUUCAAUUUUGCGAAUUUUUUCCGACACGAGCGGUACUACCGCUCCACAAGCGGUACUACCGCUGAGCGCCACAAGUGGUACUACCGCCCUCCCAAGCGGCACUACCACUCCACCCUGGGCAAGUUGCAAUUCCUUCUUCCGCAUCCCUUUUCCACCUAGUUUCGACAAAUUUUUGCCCCGGUGCCCACGCAUACUUCCGCAUACCACCACCACUUUCAGCAAACGCCACCACCGCUCACCGCUACAUCCUAUGAUGAUUUUCACACGUUUUCGUCUUUGAGAUUUUGGGUUGUGGUUCACAUGUCCUAUUGUGUUUCGGCUAUAUAGGUACGGUUCGACGUCAACAACACCACCGCUCAUCUCCAUCGACUACUCAUCAUCGCCAAGGACGGUAACCUCGACGACAUCAUCGCCAACGACUAGAGUGAGUGUGUGAACAUGAAUGUAAUGUCGGUGAGAAAUACGUACUCCCCCAAGCUUAGGCUUUUGGCCUAAGUUGGUUUAUGGCCAUGGGUAGCCUGAAUGAUAUCCAAAGUUGUAACUGGGGUCGUACUGAGAUGCAGUAGCCAAUGCCUCCUGAGCUGCAGCAUGGCGGUGAGCUUCCUCUGCUCUCCUCUCGUAUUCGGUUGCCUCCUCCCUGGUUACAACAUAUCUUCUUUUUGCCUGAUAAUCAAAAAGGACAGGAGCAGGGAGAGUAACAUGGACAGAGCAACGUCUGUCAAAGAUUAGUCGAUACUGGAGGAAUUGUUCAUUCCUCACAAGAAAAUGAUGACUGACCAUAGCAUUAUAAUCUAAAUAAGCGGGAGGCAACUCCCUAUCACCCUCACGUGGAGGUAUACCAAGAUAAUUAGCAACACGGGUCGCAUAAAUCCCUCCAAACAAAUCACCAACUAAACCAUUAUUAUGCAACCUACAUGCAACAAUUGCACCCAAGUUGUAAUCUUUAUUACCUAAUACAGCACUCUUGAGGACACAAAGAUUAGGAACACACAUGUGACAUGCUUCAUCUUUACCGUUAAUGCAUCUACCAAUGAAGAGAGCAAAAUAAUGUAUGGCAGGAAAAUGAAUGCUCCCUAUGGUAUCUUGUGUUAUAUCUCUAGAUUCUCCCACAGUAAUACUAGCAAGAAAGUAUUUAUAUUCAGAUUUACGGGGUUCAUUAACACUACCCCACUGCGGGAGUUUGCAAGCAGUAGUAAGAUCUUCUAGGUCCAUGGCAUAUGAUUGAUCAUAAAUAUCAAACAGGACACUUUGAGAAUUACGCGAAGAUGAAAAUUUAAACCUUCUCACGAAUGAAUCAGUCAAAUAGUAGUACUGAGGACACUUAUCUUGCAUGAAGUCCUCAAGGUCAGCAUUACGCACAUAAGCAUCAAAUUCAUCCUUGAUGCCUGCAUUGACCAUAAAUUCUUCUGACGGCUAUUCACAAGGCCGCACGUCAGCUUCCCUUGGUGGUUCAUCGUAUUGCUCACGCAUACCGCACCUGGGUCCUUUCUUUGUUGAAGAACUACCUUGGUACAUUUUCCUAGACAUAUUUCUUCCUCUGAAAAAUUUCUGAAAUUUUUAGUAACUCAAAAUAAAAGUGAACCAAACUAAACAAGAUUGGUAGCAACUACACCCACAAGUGCCUAGAGCCUAUAUCAUGCAUUAGAAUUACUUGGGACCUCAUAAAUUUGACAAGCAAGCUCAAGAACAGGGUCACCUAGGCAGCAAAAAUUUGCAAUGAUAAAGCACUAGAAUAAAAACUAAUUGGACCAUUGGAGGAAUCACAUACCAAGGAACAAUCUCCCAAAGAAGUUUUGUGAAUGGAGCUUUGAGCAAGGAGAUCGAAAAUCGCAGCAAAAUGAGUUAGAACUCGUGCUUGAGAUGGAUGGGGAUUUUUUGGGAGGAAGAUGGAGUGUGUGGGUGCAGGAAUAAGUGGAGUGGGGCCACCGUGGGCCCACGAGGCAGGGGGCGUGCCCUGGACCCUCGUGCCCAGGUGCUUGCCCCCCCUGUUGUGUUCUCAGUGCCUAAAAUCUCAAAUAUUCCAGAAAAAUCAUACUAAAUUGGCAGGGCAUUUGGAGAACUUUUAUUUGCGUGAUAUUUUUUAUUGCAUAGAUAAUUCAGAAAACAGACAGAUAAUACUAUAUUGCUAUAUUUAUUCUAAAUAACAGAAAGUAAAAAAGAAGGGUACAGAAGGUUGUGCCUUCUAGUUCAUCCAUCUCAUGCUCAUCAAAAGGAAUCCACUAACGAGGUUGAUCAAGUCUUGUUAACAAACUCAUUCCGAAUAACAUGGAACCGGAGAAAUUUCGAAUAACACUAGGUUACCUCAACAGGGAUAUGAACAUCCCCAAUAAUAAGAAUAUCAUAUUUCUUCUUGACAGUAGGAAGAGGAAAUUCAAACCUCCAAUAAUAAUAGUUGAACUUUUUCCAAUAGAAUUGAUGCUAUAAACUUGAGGUUGUUUCCUCGGAAAGUGUACCAUGUGCUCAUUACCAUUAACAUGAAAAGUGACAUUGCCUUUGUUGCAAUCAAUAACAGCCCCUGCAGUAUUCAAAAAGGGUCUACCAAGGAUAAUCGACAUACUAUCGUCCUCGGGAAUAUCAAGAAUAACAAAGUCCGUUAAGAUAGUGACGUUUGCGACCACAACAGGCACAUCCUCACAAAUACCGAUAGGUAUAGCAGUUGAUUUAUCAGCCAUUUGCAAAGAUAUUUUAGUAGGUGUCAACUUAUUCAACUCAAGUCUACGAUAUCAAGAGAGAGGCAUAACACUAACAUCGGCUCCAAGAUCACAUAAAGCAGUUUUAACAUAGUUUCUUUUAAUGGAGCAUGGUAUAGUUGGUACUCCUGGAUCUCCAAGUUUCUUUGGUAUUCCACCUUUAAAAGUAUAAUUAGCAAGCAUGGUGGAAAUUUCAGCUUCCGGUAUCUUUCUUUUAUUUGUAAUAAUAACCUUCAUGUAUUUAGCAUAAGGAUUUAUUUUAAGCAUAUCAGUUAAGCGCAUACGUAAGAAGAUAGGUCUAAUCAUUUCAGCAAAGCUCUCAAAAUCCUCAUCAUCCUUUUUCUUGGAUGGCUUAGGAGGAAAAGGCAUGGGUUUCUAAACCCAUGGUUCUCUUUCUUUACCGUGUUUCCUAGCAACAAAGUCUCUCUUAUCAUAACGUUGAUUCUUUGAUUGUGGGUUAUCAAGAUCAACAGCAGGUUCAAUCUCUUCAUCAUUAUCAUUGCUAGGUUGAGCAUUAACAUGAACAUUAUCAUUAACAUUAUCACUAGGUUCAUGUUCAUCACCAGAUUGUGUUUCAGCAUCAGAAAUAUCAUUGGGAUUCUCAGGUGUGUCUACAAUAGGUUCACUAGAAGCAUGCAAAGUCCUACCAUUUUUCUUUUUCUUCUUUUUAGAAGGACUAGGCAUCUAAAUUAUUUCUCUGAGAAUCUUGCUCAAUUCUCUUAGGUUGGCCUUCAGGAUACAAAGGUUCCUGAGUCAUUUUACCAGUUCUAGUAGCCACUCUAACAGCAAAGUCAUGUUUAUUGUUUAAUUCAUCGAGCAAAUCACUUUGAGCUUUAAGUAAUUGUUCUGCUUGAGUGGUAACCAUAGAAGCAUAUUUGCUAAUGAGUUUAAGUUCACCUUUAACUCUAGCCAUAUAAUCACUCAAGCAUCCAAUCAUGUAAGCAUUACUCUUUACUUCUCUACCAACAUAAGUAUUGAAACUUUCUUGUCUAGCCAUAAAGUCAUCAAAUUCAUCCAAACAUUGGCUAGGAAACUUAGUAGACGGGAUUUCAACUUUAUCAUAUCUAUAAAGAGAAUUUACCUUUACUACCUGUGUCGGGUUAUCAAGACCAUGUGUUUCUUCAAUAGGUGGUAAAUUAAGACCAUGUAUUUCUUCAACAGGAGGUAAAUUCUUAACAUCUUCAGCUUUAAUACAUUUUUCUUUCAUUGAUUUCUUUGCCUCUUCUUAGGAGUUGGUUUAGGAAUAGGCUCAGGAAUUGGCUCAGGAAGACUCCAAUUAUUUUCAUUAGUCAACAUAUUAUUCAAUAGCAAUUCAGCUUGGUCGACUAUUCUUUCCCUGAAAACACAACCAGCAUAACUAUCCAAGUGGUCCUUGGAAGCAUCGGUUAGUCCAUUAUAAAAGAUAUCAAGUAUUUCAUUUUUUCUUAAGAGGAUGAUCAGGCAAAGCAUUAAGUAGUCGGAGAAGCCUACCCCAAGCUUGUGGGAGACUCUCUUCUUCAAUUUGCACAAAAUUGUAUAUUUCCCUCAAGGCAGCUUGUUUCUUAUGAGCAGGGAAAUAUUUAGCAGAGAAGUAAUAAAUCAUACCUGGGGACUACGCACACAACCAAGAUCAAGAGAAUUAAACCAAGUUUUAGCAUCACCCUUUAAUGAGAACGGAAAUAUCUUAAGGAUAUAAUAAUAGCGAGAUUUCUCAUCGUUAGUGAAUAGGGUGGCUAUAUCAUUCAACUUAGUAAGAUGUGCCACAACAAUUUCAGAUUCAUAGCCAUAAAAAGGAUCGGAUUCAACCAAAGUAGUUAUCUCAGGAUCGACAGAGAAUUCAUAAUCCUUAUCAGUAACAAAGAUAGGUGAAAUAGCAAAAGCAGGGUCAUAUUUCAUUCUAGCAUUUAGAGAUUUCUGUUUCAGCUUAGCUAAUAACUUCUUAAGAUCAGAUCUAUCAUUGCAAGCAAGAAGAUCUCUAGCAGUUUCUUCAUCAUAACAUAACCCUCAGGAACAACAGGCAAUCCAUACUUAGGGGGAGAACCUUCAUCAUAACUAUCUUCAAUAAUAUCAUCUUCAAUAAUUUCAUUCUCUCUAACCCUAGCAAGUUGUUCAUCUAGAAAUUCACCUAAUGGCAAAGUAGUAUCAAUCACAGAAGUAGUUUCAUCAUAAGUAUCAUGCAUAGUAAAAGUGGCAUCAUCAAUAACAUGCGACAUAUCAGAAUUCAUAGCAGUAGCAGGUUUAGGUGUUGCAAGUUUACUCAAAACAGAAGGAGAAUCUAAUGCAAGCUAGAUGGCAGUUCCUUACCUCCCCUCGUAGUUGAGGGGAAAAUCUUAGUUCUUUCGUCUUUCAAGUUCCUCAUAGUGAUCAGCAGAUAUAAAUCCCAAGUGACUCAAAGAAUAGAGCUAUGCUCCCCGGCAACGGCGCCAGAAAAUAGUCUUGAUAACCCACAAGUAUAGGGGAUUGCAACAGCUUUCGAGGGUAGAGUAUUCAACCCAAAUUUAUUGAUUCGACACAAGGGGAGCCAAAGAAUAUUCUCAAGUAUUAGUAGUUGAGUUGUCAAUUCAACCACACCUGGUUAACUUAGUAUCUGCAGCAAAGUAUUUAGUAGCAAAGUAGUAUGAUAGUAACGGUAACAGUAGCAAAAGUGACGAUAGCAGUUUUGUAGUAAUUGUAACAGUAGCAACGAUAAAGUAAAUAAGAAAAACACAAUAUGUAAAAAGCUCGUAGGCAUUGGAUUAGUGAUGGAUAAUUAUGUCGGAUUGGAUUCCUCAUGUACUAGUUAUAACAUAAGGUGACACAGAACUAGCUCCAAUUCAUCAAUGUAAUGUAGGCAUGUAUUCUGAAUAUAGUCAUACAUGCUUAUGGAAAAGAACUUGCAUGACAUGUUUUGUCCUACCCUCCCGUGGCACCGGGGUCCUAGUGGAAACUAAGGGAUAUUAAGGCCUCCUUUUAAUAGAGUAGCGGACCAAAGCAUUAACACCAUAGUGAAUACAUGAACUCCUCGAACUACAGUCAUCACCGAGAAGUAUCCCGAUUAUUGUCACUUCGGGGUUGUCGGGUCAUAACGCAUAAUAGGUGACUAUAGGCUUGCAAGAUAGGAUCAAGAACUCACAUAUAUUCAUGAAAACAUAAUAGGUUCAGAUCUGAAAUCAUGGCACUCGGGCCCUAGUGACAAGCAUUAAGCAUAGCAAAGUCAUAGCAACAUCAAUCUCGGAACAUAGUGGAUACUAGGGAUCAAACCCUAACAAAACUAACUUGAUUACAUGGUAAAUCUCAUCCAACCCAUCACCGUCCAGCAAGCCUACGACGGAAUUACUCACGCACGGCGGUGAGCAUCAUGAAAUUGGUGAUGGAGGAUGGUUGAUAAUGACGACGGCGACGAAUCCCCCUCUCCGGAGCCCGAACGGACUCCAUAUCAGCCCUUCCGAGAGAGAUUAGGGCUUGGUGGUGGCUCCAUAUCGUAAAACGCGAUGAAACUUUCUCUCUGAUUUUUUUUCUCCACGAAAGAGAAUAUAUGGAGUUGGAGUUGAGGUCGGUGGACAUCCAGGGGGCCCACGAGGCAGGGGGCUCGCCCGGGGGGAGGGGGCGCGCCCCCCACCCUCGUGGACUGGGUGUGGGCCCCCUGGACUUGAUUCUUUCGCCAGUAUUUUUAUAUUUUCCAAAAAUAAUCUCCAUGGAUUUUUAGGUCAUUCCGAGAACUUUUGUUUCUGCACAAAAAUAACACCAUGGCAGUUCUGCUGAAAAUAGCGUCAGUCCGGGUUAGUUCCAUUCAAAUCAUGCAAGUUAGAGUCCAAAACAAGGGCAAAAGUGUUUGGAAAAGUAGAUAUCUUGGAGAGGUAUCAGUCGUCGACAUAGACUUGGUUGUGUCCGCUCCAUCUGCCCCGUCUGGUAGAAGGUACCGGCCCACGGCCAUGCCCAAUGUCGUUCUACCUUGCAAUGGUCGGGCAUCCAAUAGUCGUAUUGUAUGACUCACCGCAACUCCAACGAUCACGACCAACAUCAGGAAACACCGGUGUCGGGCAUGCCCACAUACUGUUCGAUGAAACAACCGACAUAGGCACACAGAUGCAGGUAUUUUCUUGUCCCAUAUGCAUUAAUCCGAUCAAUUUUAGGAUAUUUUUUUCAUUGUGAUGCAUAUUUUAGGACACAUACAUGAUGAAUGAAGGUCAAGGGCAUAUACAUUAUGACUUGGGUGAUACUGAAUUACCUUUGUUUCAUGUUGUGCAAACAUUAGGCACUAAGAAAAAAGGCACCAAAGGCAAGAGGUCUGACAUUCACAAGCCUUGAAGAUGUGUUGUUAAGUGAAGCUUUGUUUCUGAUCCUACAUAAGGCCCCCUCGAUCAACCUAGAGGAGAGGCCAGUUACGAAACUUGUAAUCCUAGCUAUCAUCCCCCUUUAUAUGGAGAGGCAAGGGGUAAAUCGAAGGUAUCUGACGCUAAGUCGACACCUCGGUAGCCAUUACCAUAUCCCAUCUAUAACCCCCUCAUAUGAGAUGUUUCCACCAUUAAUUACUACCACAAAGGAUGCUGGAGUACUGGCUUCUUGGGGGGAUUUGUGUGUAAGCACGCCCUCCACCCCACCUGUUUCCAGGGGGCGUGCCGCGGGAGCCUCCCAAGGGCUCUCGGUGCCAUCCAAUCUCCCAGGAAGGCGUGGACCCAGACUUCCCUCCUUGGUGGUCCAUGAUGGGUGCACUGCGGGCACGUCAGGGGCCACCGAUCAUGGGGAGGCUCCAAUCGUGCUCGUGAGCAAGGCCUCAGGCACCCGCAUGCAUGCAAAGGGGAACCCAGAUCCAUGUGUCAGUGUGUGGACCCUGCUAGACUGGGUCGGCCACGACAGGUGAGUCGUGCAUGUCGUUGCACCACCAGCUCGUGUGUGGCCCUCUAGCAAAACCUGCCUAUCAGUGUCUUUGCCUCGCAUCAGGAGUCUGCAUGAUGCGCUCGCGAUUGUCUGAUAUCAAUGGAGGCAUCGCACCCGGCAUAUUUUCCUUAGGGGUCCAUGGCGCAUGGUCCGGGGGGCGGCCAGGGCCACCUCUUUGUGUUGGCCUUGUGUCGAGCCAACGUGCGCCCUCUCGUGUGUUCUUCCACCUGCGUGUCAGUUCAUGUGUUGGCUCAGUCAGUCAGGACGCAGAGGCGUCUGGUUUGCUCGGAUGCGUAGGGGCUUGGCCUAGUUGUGCAUGGAGCGGUGUCCUAGAUAGCCCUUGCUGGCGCGGGGUCUGGCUGGGGCAUGUGGGGCGCUGGUUGGUCGGAGAGGGUCGUUCGGAUGUUGGGCAUGGGUGGUCGCUAUCUGCCUUCUCGCCCCCGUCGCCCUCGACCAACGUGUGUCAUUUCGUUCAUUUGUCCGGGCGUAUGAUGUUUGGGUUACUAGCUAUAGGUGGCGAUCGUGCCUAGGGUUUGCCCAAUUGUUCGUGCUCGCGCAUGGUUUUUGGACCCCACAUGGCUAUCCCACGCAACACCCCACCCAUCACCCCACUGAUUUCUUCGUGCCUGCGCAUUCGGGCACAUUGCGGGGCCGCUGUUUUUUGGUUGGGUAAACCGUGCUCGGCUAUUUUACUUUAUCUCUUUCUAUCCAGAGUCUCGUCCUAUCCAACCAGAGUCCGGAUGGAGUUGUGUUCGUUUUAUCUGGUUGAUUCUGUACGGCCAAUGUCUGCAUGAAUAUGUAUUCGUUCCAUUCGGUUGGUCGUAUCCGCCCGGUGCUCACGUGGUUUGUGUUUGUUAUAUGCUCCUUUGGUCGGUGGACGGUUUGCAUGCUUAUGUAAAUGAUGUCCGGCAGUGUCCCCUCCUAGUUGCCCCUAUGCUAGUGGCUUCAGUUAGUGUUUAGGUCAGUUGAGCCCAUUGGUCGGUGUCCUUGCGAUGGUCACUCUACUCAAUAAAAGCAUGUGGUUGCCUUUGCUUUUCUCCUCCUUCCUUCUUCCCAUCGUCGUCGUUGCCUUACUUUUUGCUCUGCGGAUCUCUUUCUUUGCAUUAUUGGAGGUGCUCUUUGAGCUCGUCCCUGCCAUUUAGCAGUUUCUUCCUGUUUUUCUUGCCUGUCAGUGUGGCCUUCGUCUUUCAUGCUGAUUGAGGUUGUUCUUCUUUCCUUUCUCUCAGUCUUCUUUUCUUCUUUAAUCGUGCUCUCUCUUCAUUUGUUCUUUUAGGUCUUUCAAGCUCUUAUUAUCGUUGAUGGGCGGCUAUAUUGUUGCUUGAGGUGGGCUCAUGAUUUUUUGUCAGUAGAGAUCGUGAUGGCAUUCUUUAUCCUUUAUCUUGGUUCGUGUUUUUCAUAUUGUCUAAUUUCAUUUUUGGUCCGUGCGGUAGAUACGACAGUAGCGAGUUGCUGGAAACUAUUGGCUUCGCAGCAUGUGGCUAGCACUGUAUGUUUUAUUUUUGCAUCGAGGCUUCUUUGAUGGACAAUGACCUGUUUUUCGUUUGUUCCCCGCGGUGAGGUUUUAUUGAUUACGUAUUUCUGUGCGGUUUGGAGUUCUUUGUUUUGUCUGCAAUUCCUGUGUGCUGAUCAUGAAUCACUGUAGACUACUGCUUUAUGUUGUUAUAUUUCGCGGGCUUAAAUUUAAUGUUUCAUCUAGGAUUAGGGUUAGGUUUUGUGGCCAUGGAGGUGGUUGAUGAUGGAGGCAUCUAUGAUCGAUCACCGUGGUCUGAGUCCUCCAUUACCAGGCUACCUGAGGUUAGUUUUGCAUUUUGACCGUUGUUGUUUAUUGCGCGUGGAUUUUUCAUCGUUGUUGAAUACUUUGUUGUUCUCUUACUGGUUGCACACGAUUUUAAUAGUUUUCCCUGUGGGGUGUAUUUACGAUUUUCUUUGACGUAUCUUUGUUUGUUGUUAAAAUUGGUAGGGCGUUGCUACGAACGUGAAGAUUCCCUAUGCAACCAUAUUAGAUUUAAUGCUCAAAGUUGUGGGAUUGUCGGUUCCUUGUUAUGAAGAGAAAGUGUAUGCCAAUGAAAAAUUGCAGGCCACUACUACUUUCAAUACAUCUACGUUGAUGUUUGAAGGUGCCCUCAUUCCUAGGUCCAUAUACAAUGUUAUAUCCAUCAAUGCUGACGAGGAUGACACUUCGCCUAUAGAAACCAUUAGAUAUAUAUAGGAUUCGUGCAACACAAAGUGUGAGAGAUUACAACUACAGACAUCGGGAGCUCCUCUCCCGAGUGGCAUGGGAGGCGCGGAGGCGCGAAUGCAGGGUUGCAUGGGGGAUGGCUGGGAGGCUCUCUGGCUGUCCAAUCUGAGAUCUGACAUCUCAUAUCGACGAUUAGGGUUGUGGCGUUGGUUGGAUGGAGGUGGUGGUUGGCUAUUGCCAAGUGGUGGUGCAGGGUGGCUGGGAGUAGAAAUUCAGAGGAUUUGUCCCCUAGAUGUUAGGGUUUCAUGCUUGGAAGUAGGAGGCUAUCCAUAUAUAGGCAGGGGAUUAUAAGGGCUUUGGGCUAGAAUUUGGAGAUGUUUUAGAUAGGGUUGGAGAGGAGAGAACAAAGGAAGCCCAAUAGGUAGUUUUUAUCUACAAAAUCAUUUAUUAAUUAAGCCGACUAUAGUGCCUCACAUAAUUAACGGUUAGGGCACCACACGAACUUCGAUUCGGACGAAAUUCGAAACAUAACCACACUAGAAAAUUUUGAGACCGCACAAAUCAUCCCAAAUUGAUCAGAGAGCGUUGGGCAUUUAUUUAGAAAAUAUCUCCACUUACUACAUAAACGAAGGGUCCGCAUAACAGGUGAUAACAAGGCUUGUGCAAACGUUGCGAAAAAAUGUGGGUACCUCCCAAAUCUCACAACGAGGUCGUGUCCAACAAUUCAGGUGAGUCUCAAAUCGCAACACAGAAGAGAAAAUGGAUUUACUUAUUCAUCGUUUAAAAGAUGGCAAAAAUAAAAUAGUCAAGUUAAUUAUUUAAUUAAUGAAAAUAAUUUUUAAUUUGGGGAAAACUCCAUGAUGUCAACCCCAUCACCCGAAAAUAUUGGAUCGCACCUCGUGUCACUCUUGGCGACUCGGGCGUUGCCUCUAGGCUGAUGCCACUAGAGCCCUCUCUAACAUGUAUCCUCCCCUCGCCGUUGCAUGUUUGCCAUUGGGCAAAUCCCUUGCAUUGCUUGGCGCCUGGGCGACGCAUUAUAUUUGAUCUCGGUGGCAACCACCAUGGUUGCAUGUUGGGAGGAGACAACAAGUCUGGUGGGCAUGUGCGGUGUGGAGAUGGGAGGCGCGGAGGAGGCUUUGUCGCAUGCGGCAGGCCUAUGUGUGGCUUAUCAUCAGGAGGUAUGAUGGUGGGCGUGCUCGGGGGCNNNNNNNNNNNNNNNNNNNNNNNNNNNNNNNNNNNNNNNNNNNNNNNNNNNNNNNNNNNNNNNNNNNNNNNNNNNNNNNNNNNNNNNNNNNNNNNNNNNNNNNNNNNNNNNNNNNNNNNNNNNNNNNNNNNNNNNNNNNNNNNNNNNNNNNNNNNNNNNNNNNNNNNNNNNNNNNNNNNNNNNNNNNNNNNNNNNNNNNNNNNNNNNNNNNNNNNNNNNNNNNNNNNNNNNNNNNNUGCUCGGGGGCGGGCAAAAUGCUCUGGUCAGGGGGGGGGGGUCUGUCAGUUGUGCGUAGCAGUGGUUGCGCUUACCGCGGGGGUGAGUCGGCAAUGGUGAUUUUCCUUUCGUGCUCCUGUUUUGGUCAUGUCGUCGGCCUGGGUAGGGCUCUAUCCGGCGUGGUGGUAGUCGAUGGUGGUGUGCUCUCCCGUCGGUGUUGGUCCUUGUGGUGACCAUGCCGCCGUGGAUUGUAGGGGCCACCGACAGGUCUUCAUGAGGAUUUCUUCCUCCAGAUCUGAUAGUUGACUUCGGUGGAGAGAUGCAAAAUAUGGAUGACGACCUAACGCAAAUGAAUGGUUGUGAAGUGGGGGCAAUCACAAAUCACAUGUAGCUGUUGGGAUCUAGAAAAAGUGGUGGCCACAACACAUAAGUGACGUCCACGAUAGUGCAACUCAAUCAUCGGGUCUCGACGGGGUGAAAAUCUAAGAAUGGCCCGAGUUGGUUAUACCUAACAAUGACGAUUUUUUAAGUCAUUGUCUUGUUGAAAACAUUGCUCGAAUACACGGGGAGAGCCUAGAUUCUAGCCUUGGAUGAUUGGAUCGGGUGACAUCGAUGCUAAGCGUCGCUACGUGUUGUUGAAGAACCUCGUCGUCCAUGUAGUAUCAUGAAAUAAGUGGUGCACAUAUGAUCAUUGUUGUAUAAUUUUCCUUGCCUACACAUAACUUUGAUCUUAUAUAAUUUUGCUUUGUUUUUUUAAUUUUUCCUCACCUAUCCAUAACUUUAAUCUUAUAUAAUUUUGCUAUUUGUUAGUGUGUUCUUGUGCAUGUGUUAGGGUUGGUUGUGUGCAUCCUAGUCCAGGUGUGUCAAUUGUGUUUGUAUCCCUUUGAUGCUCCAUUUUAAGCCAAUAAAAAUCCACUCUUUGUUGAAAAAAGUUACAUAGAAAUGUCACCGACCACACAUUAGAUAGGAAAGGAUAUUUCUCUAAACAUCACACAGAGGUGCCUGCAAACCAAAAAAGAAAGUACAGCACCGUAAGUCUGGAGUAUCAACUUCCCAUUAAUUUAGCUACCCUAGGUCCAAGAAGAAAGAAAGAAACCAAUCAGCCUAACAUUCUGCAAAUACCCUAGGAUGUUCGGCCUGUGCACCGACAGAUUCGGCCUGUGCAAGACCGCAUGGGAACAGGGCUACAGCUGCUGCUCCUUUGGCGAACGAACAUUACCAGUAGAUCCUACAAUAUGUUCGGCACAUGCGAGGAGAGUUUUUCCUGCAAUUCCCUGAUCUGAGAACAGAGCUCGACCUUCUGCUCCUUGUAGCUGUGAAGCAAGAAGUCUUUCCCUCCGAUAACUUCCUUCAGCUCACCCACCUCCCUCUUGAGCAUCUCCAUCCUCUCCAACUCUUCUUUCUUCUUCCCAAUACCAAUAAAAUGCAGCUCAGGGUCACCGACGCUGCUAUUGGCGUAGCCAUUAGCAUGCCCAUUGGUGGCAUCUGACUGCCAGUGUCCAACAUGCAACGGCUUAUCGUGAGAGAGUGCUUCGCCAACACAAUGGUCUGUGAUGAUCUUCCUCAGAUGCUGGAUCUCUCGCUCAGAAUCAAAUAUAUCUCGGUUAGCAGACUCCAGCUGAGACUGCAAAUUAGACGACUGCUUCUCCUGGAUGGCAAGAGAGUUCUUAAGGUCAGCAAUCUGAGCUUGAAUCUCCAUGAUCAUCUCAUCACGUCUUUUCAGGUGCUGCCUCAGCUUCUGUAUGACCUCUCUCUUGCUAUAAAUGUCAGAUCCUGACUCUGAAACACGUGGGGAGCCAGAACUGUUUGAGUACUGAAAUGGUUUACGAGGAUCUUCAAGGCGGUCAGGUGAUGAUAUCCACAUGACGCCACUGUUGUCCUUGCUUGAUUCUUGCACUGGUAUUUUCACAAGUGGAAGCGAGGGUUCAGCUGAUUUUGAUGGACUUGCAGGAGGAUGCUUGACUUCCACUCCACCAUCUGAAUGCCCUGCACAUUACAAUCAGCAUUUAAUAUUUUCAACGUUUUGGAAAAGCUGUUACACCAUGAAGAAAGGGUUGGGUUUCAAACGCCAAAUUAAGGCGCCAAACUAAUGAUACAAUGUGACCAAGGUACUUUAAUUCAAUCAGCAUAAUUGAACAAACAACCAAGUAGGAAGAUGACAUCUGUGUCUCUAAAUGCUGAACUCAUGCCCAAAAUUGCAACUUUGACAUAAAUACAAUAAUGCAAUCAUCCUGACUAACUUUGCAGAUCCCGGUGCUCAACAGCUAAUAGGGAAGUCGAAUCUAUGACAAUCAUAGAUAUUCGAGAGUAAGGAGGAAGAAAGGCGACCACCAAGGUGGGGGCGUGCUGUGCAGUGUUUGUUAUGACUGCAAAGCAACACGUGAAAACAAAUGGACUACUGUCAUUAGGGACCUACCUAGCAGCUACACAGCUGGCGGAGAGGCUCUGAGAGUGUCCUGUAUCCACCGGGAUUGAGGCUUUAUCUUGAUACAAUACUCAUAUGACAAAGCUAGCAAUGCAACUACCCAACCCCACUAAAUGUCUGUCGUUUGCAAGACAAUGUACUGCACAUGAAAGACAAAGGAGGGUGCAGGUUUACGAUAACUUGUCAGUUGUAGUUCUGAAAAUAAAUUAAAUAUCCUUAGAUUUGUAGGUUGUACUAGCCAAGAACUUGUUUGGCUGGUUAGUGGUUACAGCAGAAUGAUUUUGCUCUAAGCUGUACUCCCUCUGUAAACUAAUAUAAGACAUUUUAGGUCACUACUUUAGUGACAAAAAAGUCUUAUAUUUUAAAUUUUUUAUGGGGAAAACGUCUUAUAUUAGUUUGCAGAGGGAGUACUUCUGAAAGUAAAUCAAAUAUCCUUAGAUUGGUAGAUUUUACUAGCCAAAUAGAACUUGUUUGGCUGGCUAAUGGUUACAACACAAUGAUUUUGUUAAGUAGCAAUCUGAAAUCUGACCUGGGGACAAUUCCUAUCAUUUCCGGAUCUGUAGAUUUCCGUACACUGUAGAACCUAAGGUGCUAGCUCUUGACAAAUUUAAAAGCCAUAUGUUCAUAGGAACGAAGUCCAUGCCAUCUCACCGUUGCUCCUUGUAUUGUGCUUAAGAAAUUUUGUGAUCCAAUUAUGCAUUUCAUCACUAAUUAAGUUACAACUCUGUCACACUUAAUAUGAUCUAACAAACUCAACUGAGCUCUCCGGUUGUAUUUCUAUCUUUGACAGGUAACUGACCAAGAGUUAUAUAGUUACCAUGCGGAAAUGUAAAUAAAAGCCCCAAACUAUAAGGUAGAACUUUGUUUGCGUACAUGACAAAACCACAAAUUAGAAACUGCCAUGCAUCUAACUAGAUUUUUUGCAGAUAUAUAAAGCAACUAACAAUAUAGUGCCAGAUCUUUGUGCCGCUACAUUACACUUUGAUACCAAACUACCAUACUGAAAUUUCCAUAUUUUUACAUAUUAUAUGCAACCAUGUGUAACUUAUCAUCUCCAAAUGGACAUGAAACUGAUAAGAGACCAAGAUCAUGAUCAAUGCACGGCAAAGAUGACGAUUUGAUCAUAACUAAGCCUUUUAGUAGACCAAUAUGCACUUGCUCUACUUGAUGUCCUUUAGUACAGAAACUCGGAGAUAUAAAUAAACAACUGAAACCUUGAAUAUACAAUUUGACUAAAGGUUCAGUGGAAAAUGAGAAGCAGGCAACAGAAUAUACUAAGUUAUAGAAGUACCUGAAAUACAAUAGUAGCAGCUAGUUUGGCCACGAAACCUGCAUAGGUUUGAGUGCAAUUCACAUCCUCCAGGCCUACUUUCGGCUGCAGUUUUGCAUAGUAAGCAUAAAGCAUAUAAAUAGUACGAAAGGGGAUAAAGGUUUCAACUGAAAAUGGGAGAAUUACACCUUUGGAAAAGCCAUUCUGCUGCUUCGUAUCAAACAUUUGCUUUAAUUUGCAUCCAAGUUUGACGGAGAAAGUGCUUAGUAAAACUCCUCCGGCAACAAGAAUCCAGUUUGGUCCUCCUUGGAGAUGAUCUACUCUUCCUGCCUUCUGUAUGCCCCUAUUCGUCUUAGACUUCAUCCUAACUCCUAAGAUAACCAGUUUAUUCAGCCAAAUGUAUAAAUGCGGUAGCUUGACACAUGUAUGGCAAUGUUUUCAGCACCACGGCUCCCAUAUUAGUACAGACAAGAGAAUAUCUAACCUACUAAAACAUGUGGCAUAUGGGUUUCUCCACGGUAGCUUAUUUCUCAACAACAAUAACCUUCUGUUUUAAAAAAGGAAGUAUAACAUAUGGCCUCAAUGAAUAAGCAGAUACAACACUGAUAUUUGGUGUCGUCAGAACAAACAGCGAAAGCUAAAAAUACUAAGUUGAGACACUUAUUUUGGGAUGGAGGGAGUAUGUCAUUAGAUUUUUCUUGCAUAUUAUGCACUUUUUGUUAUCUUUAUGACAUAUUAUGGUUGGAAACUGCAGUCAAAGCUUUGCAUUAGAGAUCGAAGAGACAUAACAAGACCUCAUCACUCGAGACGCGAUCACUGUUGAAGUGUGUAUGUGGAUUGCCUAGCCCUUUCAAAAAGUUUGGACUUUUGGUUGCGUUUGCUAGUGCAUGAAGCUUAACAUGGUAUCAGGGUCUAAGGUCUUGAGUUCAAGUCCUGGCUUUCACAAUUUAUCAAAAAAAAUCUGCUGCCCCCCUCUGUGUCCACGUAUAGGCCUCUUGAGCCAUACCUCUGAGUCUAUUCACGUGUUGACUUCACGUGUCACAUGUGAGAGGGGGUGUUGAUGUGGAUUGCCUAGCCCUUUCCAUAAGUUUGGACUUUUGGAUGAGUUGGCUAGUGAAUGAAGCUUAACAAUCACCUCCCACAGGUUGACGCUCUUUCCUACGGUUACGAGUAUAUGACAUAGGCCUGCUGUUUUGGCUCGCCUCUCCAAGCCAGCUGUGUCCAGUUCAGAGGUUUUUAUUUUUCCUAUUUUGGUUCUUGUUGUUCUCGUCUUUCUUUGGCAUUGGGCUUCCCUGUACACAACGUAUUAUUUCCCCUUAUAUUGCAUGUCAGAGCUCUUGCCUUUUACGAAAAAAGGUUUUUGGAACAAAUGAAGUAACUUCAUAAGAGAUUAGUUUUUUUUCACAUAAUGUAUAGGAAAUAGAGGACAUAACAAUACGGUAUUACAGCAUUCAACCGUUGCUAUAGCUAUUGAGCGUGGGAUCUUAUUUAGGGAUUGCUCAACAUCAAUAACCAUGAUAGGUGUUAACUACACUUAACACAAAGGAAUCACACCUUAAGGCUAAACUGUUAUCUUUUGGGUCCCUACUCCAGGAACAAUAAGCACGUAGCAAUGCAGGAUUCCAGUUUCAGUAGAAUAUAAGCAUUCACACUGGAGAAAUUUGUUCACAUAGGUGUCUAGUUCCUUGUCUCCAAGCCUCAAACCUACCACGGAAGUAGUUGGUAUAAUCAUUGCUAAAAGUACCACUCCCUCCGAUCCAUAUUAAUUGUCGCAGCUUUGGUGCAAAGUUGUACUAAAGCUGCGACAUAUAAUUUGGAUCGGAGGGAGUAACUAUUUCUUCGUGAACAGACUGAUUUGACUUGUUCUUACUCUACCAGUUUCAACGGAGACGACAGAACAUGCAUUUUCUGCCAUGGAACUUGUGAAGACAAGGCUUCAGACUAAAAUGGAAGAUGGAUUUCUAAGGGAUUGCCUCAUAAUUUAUAUCGAAAAGGAGAUUGCGGUUGGAAUAUCAACAGAUGCAAUUAUAGAUGAGUUCGAUGAAUCACCAUGCCGAUGAAUCACCAUGCAAUUCAUCGUGUGUAGAGCAGUGGUCUCCUGAGGCUUCCUCGUUUUCGCGCCGCGCGUGUUCGUCCGAUUGGCUUUGGUCGGGUCAACGCGCAUGUGGUUGCCGUUCGAUUUUCACUUGUUGUUUUGACUCAGCAGUCCUGCGUGGAAGCCGAUGACUGGUGGGCUCAGUGAGUUCUGUUAGGCUAGUGGAGUAACAUAGGUAGUAACUUAGAUGCCACAUAAGCAAAAAUGAUGAGAUGGCAAGUAGUUAAUGAGGAAAAAGGCAAAUAGAGUAACAUAAUAUGUUAUCAUCACAUAACGCUUCCCAAUGCAAAACGAGUCUACAAAGUAAUAAAUGAAGAUAUCUAUGUUACUACAUAUAUAAUACUACCCACUAUGAAGGUAGUAAUAUAGAGCAUGCUUGGAUACAUUUUAGUCCCAUGACUAAAAGUAGUGGGACUAAAACUUGCUAGUCUCACCCAUGCUUGGAUCAAAAUACUAAAGAGACUAAAAUCUAGUUAUUGAGCAUUUAUUAUCCUCCAAACCCUCCAAUUCAGAACUAAGGAGAGGAAUUAAAUGAGGAGAAAGAGAGCUAAUACAUAUUUUAAUAGGUUUUCCAUGACUAAAAGAUUUUAGCCUCAAGACUAGUCCUAGCCUCUCUUUAGUCAAGGGUGCUUGGAAUUUUAGUCUCUCAUAGAUGCAUGUUACUAGUCUAAAUUACUCUUCCCUAUGACCAGCCUUAUUAGCUGGGUUCGAAAAUCUCUGGUGACCACUCCUCGCGCGUCGCGUGGUUCGUCCGCGCUGACUGCGGCGUGCGUGCGUCGGUGGGCCGUGGAGGGGUUGGCCGAUGCAUCUGCACCCGUUUUGCACGCCCUCCUCGCGAUGACUGGUGGGCCAUGUUGCUGCUGGUCCCGCUCGUCGGUGGGUGCACUUGGUUGUUUUUCUCUGUGUGUGGUGUUGCUUCUUGUACGUAUUUGGAGAGAGAGAGGGGCUGGGCACCGAUUCAUGUGCGUGUGGGGCCCUGGCUGACGGAUGGAUAGUGUGUGCGUCGUGCGUGCCUCGCCUGCCAUCUGAGUUUGGAGAGAGAGGAGGUGGACGGGCAAAAUAUCUCGCGAGCAGGCGCUUGGGACGCUGGGAUGUCAAAAAACACGCACAAAAGAUGUCCCAGGUCAAAUGACAUGCGGGCCAACCUUCAUGGGCCCCGUAUGGCAGUAAAGGAGCAGGCGAACAAGACGGUAAGAAAGGGAUCCCACCCGGUGCUGAGCCCUCUCUCCAACCGCGCGAGCGAACGCAUGGGAAGUCAAAAAGCAUGCACUGUGCGUGCAUCAUCUGCGGUGGUUAAGAGAUGGACUGACACGUGCACACACGUUGCUGCCUUUUCACACUAUGACUUGUGGGCCGAGUUGGCUGCUGGUCCCACGGGUCUGUGCCUUGCCUUUGUUCUCGCUCGUAUAUCAUCUGGGGUUGGAGAGAGCCGGAUCGUGGGUCGUGCGUCGUGCCGUGCGCCAUGCCGUGUCCUGCGGCUGGGUGUGGGGGUUCGCUUUUGCUGUAGCGAUGAACGUGCAGCACAGACAGCGUUCCCUCCCAUCCCGACCCCUGCAGGCCUGCACCCCCUCCUUCCCUCUCUCCUCCUUUCUCCUCCCCAGCCACCAAUCCGCCUUCUCGUCUCGCUGCUUCGUCUCCUCCACCGCCUUGUCUCCGGCAGCCCUACCUCACAACACGUUUCUCGAGGAGCAACGCGAGCAAGGCCAGCAGGAGUGGAUCGAGGCUUCGCACGCUGGCUCCGUCAUUUGCUUCGCCACGUUUUGGAUUCACGCCGCCGUGUGUGAUGGUUCUAGAUCGGCGCAGGUCGUCGUCGCGGAAUAUCAGGGGCGGUGGGUUCUUCACAUCGAGGGUUGGCAAGCUGGGGAGGGUCAAGAGGCUGACAGAGCGUGUUUAGAGCAGCGAGGUCGGCUGUAGGGGAGCGGCUACCCCAGAGCUUCAGACUGCGCACGCGUUGCGAGUUUGGCUGUGGGGGAGCGGCUGCCCGGAGCUCGGUUGCGCACACCUCAUGGGAUCUGGUCUCACCAGGCACUCGAUGCCGGCCUCGUCGGCUUCCCGAGGUGACACAACAACGGUCACGCUCGACACCCUCUUUCGCGAUUCGAUGACGGCCGGCUCAUACGGCGGCCUCAGCGGGUGGCUAACACAACUGCAGCUGGUGCACGAGCUCUCAGUCGACACAUCCACACUCGACUCCUCGUCUUGGUACCAGCUUUUGCAGCAUGUUUGAAGUUUUCUCCUUUUCCCCUUCUUCAUUUGUUUCACAUGGUUCUGCUCGGGUGGAUACAGGGUGCGGAGUGCGGGCUGAGAGUUGGAUGCUUUGUGCUAGCAUAUAGAAGUGCUGCAACCACCAUUGUUCCGGCUGUGAGGUAUAAUGCUAAUUGGGCUUGCGAAUUAAUCAUGUCUGGGAAUGGAUUGCCUAAUUGUUGGGGUUUCUCUGUAUGUGAUUUCUUUUACUCAUUUUAGAUUCUUAAUUCGGUGGUUCUUGAUUGCAACCUGGGGUCAUCCUGUUCCUACUCACAUGUUACAGUAGUGUUUUGUAUAAUAUACCCAAGCUCUCGCUCCUGAAAAUUAUCCAUCUGUUCUCUGAUGCACGCAGGUCACUAGAGAGGGAGUCUGGCUUGCGAGUUUCGCUGAUGCGGUCAAAACCGCGAUGCCAAACUCUGAGGAGAUACCAAAGGUGUACUGGGAGGCGGUGCUUCCUGGAAUCCCAAUGCCUCCACCUAUUAUCAACCUGCUGUUAGCCCAGCAAGAUGGUAUCUCUCUCCUUCCCUCCCCCCCUCCCUUCCCACCUUGGUGACCUCAUUUAAGUGGUUUUGGUAAUUGGUGGUACAACUUUCCCUCUUUGAUACCUACAAAUUCUUUAUAAUGAUCGACUCUUAGUUUGCAAUCCAUUAUGGAACAUAAAUGAACAUAAUAGAUGUGAAUCUUUUGUUCUGAUGAAUGAUAAAUGUUUGACUUAAAGCAUAGACUAUUGCAUAUACAAUAUGAUAUGUGUGCCAUAAAGGAUAAAUUAACCUUUUCUCUACCGGUAUACUGAGAGCUUACAGUGGCUAAUUUGAUAAGAAGCAUAGUACUUGUAUCAUUUGGAAAAUGACCCUUCUGUAUUUCAUUUUCAGGGAUAGUCCUGUUGUGCUUUGUUUUUAUAUGAUCUAAAACUACAGAGUUCUUGUGCAAUUCAGAUGUUCUGUUUAGUACGAAUUUUACAAUAUCUGAACUUCUGAAAUCAGUAUAAGUCUAACAGCCUUGCAACUAAACCAAAACUAAAACUGCAGGGAUCUUGUGACAGCCUUGCAACCAAAACUAGAACUACAUGGAUCUUAUGUAGUUGAAAGCUAGCUGUCAUUUGUUGGAAUAUCAAUUAUCUUGUUUGUGCACGAUUAACCUGCUUAUCAUGAAAAAGUAGAAUAUUUUAGGACGGACCGUCGAGUUGCUUGGCAUUUGUUUAGAUCUUUAUGAGAAGCAGCUCUUCUCAGUGGGACUUUUCUUUUUUAUUCAUCUUGGUAAUCUAAAAAAUAUACUUCUUAGUUAGAUAUCAGUUACACAACUAGAACACCAUGAAUUCACUGUUUUUGUAGGACCUUGCUGCUGUGAAUCAGUGUAAUAAACUUGGCAUACAAAACACAUGUAGAUAUUGUUUUAUUCAUCAAAUAACACAUUCAGAAUCCUUGUUCACAAGGACCCUGCUGAUGCGAGUCAAUGUAAUAAUUUUCUUUAUGAUUCUAUCUACCCAUAUGAGCCACUCAAUUGAAUUAAUUUUCAUAUUCCAGAUGUUCUCUUUUGUUGGUUGCGGUUCUGCAUAACUAUUGCUGGUCGCUGGAGCAGAAGCAGUGAAGCUUGAAGUUUAUAAGUUCGGGGGAUGGCAAUAAUACUGCUGUUUACGCUGUCUGUCGCUGUUAUUUCAUGUUUCUGAAUUUAAGUCCCGAGAACUAAGUGUCGGUGUCAUCAAACUUUAAUGUUAUGUCAUGUCUUGAGAGUUUGGUUUGUGCGAGUGUGUACUAAACUACUCUUGGAUGCUAUGUUUGAGUCAAAUUGGUGUUAAAUCUGCAACAUAUUGUUAUAUUUGUCACUUGUUUGCUACCACUGCUUGUUAACUGUUAAGAAAAGAUGGGGUAUAGAGGAAGUUUUGGCAAAAGUAAAUAGCACACUAUCUUUUUACAUGAGGAAACUGCAGACUGGUGGAGCACUUCCUGCUAAUAUGAUAGACAUUGCUGCACUUAAUUGGUUAUCUGUAGUAUAUCUCAAUUUUGGAUGUGACAUGUCAUGUAUUUAUAUGCUAAAAUUGAGCUUGUUUUUGCAGUUCCAUAGGUAGGGGUAUGUAAUUAGUCGGUAUAUUUUUAAAC
rnacentral:lncRNA from 1 species